AAGUCGUAACAAGGUUUCCGUAGGUGAACCUGCGGAAGGAUCAUCAGAGAUAACAAGAAGUAAGAAGAAGCACAACUCCCGGCAACGGAUCUCUAGGCUCUCC
rnacentral:misc_RNA from 1 species